GAAUAGCAUUGCAUAUUUAAAAAUGCAUUCCUAAAUUGUCACUUUAUCUACAAUUUAUGUAUACACUUUGUUUGAUUUUUUUAAUGGAUAUACUUUGAAAUUUUUAUGAACAUCUGCGAUGUGGAAUGUUUAUUUGGCUUUAAAUUUUAGCUAUCUUGAAUUUUUUUUUAAAUUUGCAUUUACAGUAAUUUUUUUUUUUUGGAAAUGUUUAAAAUUAAAGAAUGUUUCUAAUGCUUUUUACCUCAUAAUUCUGCUUAUUUUUAUAUUGAUUCAUUGUUGACUGGUGAAAAUAUUAAUUUGAAACAAAAUACUAAUUACCACAAUGUAGCAUUUUUUAUUUUAAUCAAAGGGAGGAACAUUUGUGCUGAAAUCCAGAACAGAAUAUUUUUUAAUAGCUGUAAGCUAUACCAUGUUUUCAAGUGAUGAUUUUUAUUGAUAUGUUUUACUUGUGCCAUGAAGAUCAGUAUUGAUCUAUAUGUAGGACCAUAAGGGAAAACCUAAUUUAAAACUAGAAGAACAAACAUAGAUUUAGAAGAAAAUUCCAUUAUGAUAUGAGUCAAUACAGUUCUUACAAUUCAGUGGGUAUAGUUUUAUUUUUAUUUGGUUUUAUAUACCGAUUUUACGAGAUAUUGAAUUUUUAGAUGAAACUAUAUUGAGAGAUUUUCCUUAUUCUGUAUACUAAUGACGUAUUGCCACUAGAUGAACAUUGUAAUUUGAGUUAUAGUAAACAUGUGUAUAGUUGAAUAUAGUUUGGAGUUAUAAAGAAUCAGUGAUUGCUAAUUUGAGUAUUGGUAAUUUGAUUUAUAUUGUCUUGUUCAAUUGUUCAGGCAUAAUAUUGCUUUAUAAAGCUUGCCUUGCAUAGGGAAUGUAGGAGGACAGAAAAACUAAAAUUAUCAAUUUAAAACAAAUGAUUUUUUCUAAAUGGUUAUCAGUCUUUUGAGUUUAUUAUGAAAAAAAAAAAAUUUUGAUAUACACACUUAACAAUUUUGCUUAUUUGAAUAACCAGAUUUUAUAUAUAUUUUUUUUUUAAAAGAAGAAACAUGUCUAUUGUUGCAUAAUCACAACUACCUCUGUUUUAUCCUGUACAUGUGUAUAAUAUUACGUACAUGUACAGGGAAAUCAAAGCAUGUGAUGGAAGUCCAUUGUAACAUAGAUCAUUUAUUUAUUAAACUUAAUAUCAGUGAGCAUGAAGGUUAAUUGAAGAGUAUAUGUAUUGAAAACACUCAGUGAGAUUCGAUUAAUUUUUAUUAAUAUCCAGAUUUUUUUUUUUUCAAAUCAAAAUUUUAAAACUGUGUUUUAAAUAUUUCAUUUAUACCAAAUAAUAACUUUGUCUAAAAUUAUACUAUAUAGUGCUGGUCUUAAAGGCACUGUAUGUAAUAAUUCAAUCUAUUUUCAUAGCUUUUUGUUAUGUUUCUUCUUGAGGGCAAUGAAUUUGUUAAUUUUUCUUGUCGUCAAUAAAAUAUUUUAUCUUC
rnacentral:misc_RNA from 1 species